UGCUAGUAUACGUAGAAUAAGGAUCGGCUAACUCCGUGCCAGCAGCCGCGGUAAUACGGAGGAUCCGAGCGUUAUCCGGAUUUAUUGGGUUUAAAGGGUGCGCAGGCGGUCUUUUAAGUCAGUGGUUAAAUAGUGAGGCUCAACCUCAUCCCGCCAUUGAUACUGGGAGACUUGAUUGCGGUCGAGGUUGGCGGAAUUCGCCGUGUAGCGGUGAAAUGCAUAGAUAUGGCGAAGAACUCCGAUUGCGUAGGCAGCUGACCAGGCCGUAAAUGACGCUCAUGCACGAAAGUGCGGGGAUCGAACAGGAUUAGAUACCCUG
rnacentral:rRNA from 1 species